AGUGAAAUUCCAAACAAUCAUGAAGCCUAGAAAUUGGCCCAUCCUGACCCAAUACUUCAUACAAGUUGUUCAAGGCUCAAUCCAUUUACAGCAGCAAUGUUGAUUUCCAGUCAAAAUAAUCCAUUGUCAUUUUGGCAUCAUGCUUUGUAGUUUACUUAUGUUUAUUUCGCCAACAUUCUUAACUAUAACUCUUAUGUGCGUUACGUGGAGAUCUUUAAUCUACUCCGA
rnacentral:lncRNA from 1 species